rnacentral:rRNA from 1 species
UACAGAGGGUGCGAGCGUUAAUCGGAAUUACUGGGCGUAAAGCGCACGUAGGCGGCUUGGUAUGUCGGGUGUGAAAUCCCCGGGCUCAACCUGGGAACUGCAUUCGAAACUGCCUUGCUCGAGUAUGGGAGAGGGAAGUGGAAUUUCCGGUGUAGCGGUGAAAUGCGUAGAUAUCGGAAGGAACAUCAGUGGCGAAGGCGACUUCCUGGACCAAUACUGACGCUCAGGUGCGAAGGCCAGGGGAGCAAACGGG